rnacentral:rRNA from 1 species
GACGAACGCUGGCGGCGUGCCUAACACAAUGCAAGUCGAACGAAGCAUAGCAAUAUGCUUAGUGGCGGACGGGUGAGUAACGCGUGAACAAUCUGCCCUGUACAAAGGAAUAGCCUCGGGAAACCGGGAUUAAAACCGUAUGACACUUUAGUAUCGCAUGAUAAGAAAGUCAAAUCGAAUAGAGGUAUGGGAUGAGUUCGCGUCUGAUUAGCUGGUUGGCGGGGUAACGGCCCACCAAGGCGACGAUCAGUAGCCGGCCUGAGAGGGUGAACGGCCACACUGGAACUGAGACACGGUCCAGACUCCUACGGGAGGCAGCAGUGGGGAAUAUUGCACAAUGGAGGGAACUCUGAUGCAGCGACGCCGCGUGAGUGAAGAAGGUCUUCGGAUCGUAAAACUCUGUCCUUGGUGAAGAAAAGGACGGUAGCCAAGGAGGAAGCCCCGGCUAACUACGUG